rnacentral:rRNA from 1 species
UACAGGGGGUGCAAACGUUGCUCGGAAUCAUUGGGCGUAAAGCGCACGUAGGCGGUCUGUUAUGUCGGAUGUGAAAGCCCUUGGCUCAACUGAGGAAGUGCAUCCGAAACUGGCAGGCUAGAGCACUAAAGAGGAUCGCGGAAUUCCCGGUGUAGAGGUGAAAUUCGUAGAUAUCGGGAGGAACACCGGUGGCGAAGGCGGCGAUCUGGGUAGAUACUGACGCUGAGGUGCGAAAGCGUGGGGAGCAAACAGG